UUACCAGCUUGACAUCUAUGAAAGCUUCGGGGGACAGGUGCUGCAUGGCCGUCGUCAGCUCGUGUCGUGAGAUGUUGGGUUAAGUCCCGCAACGAGCGCAACCCUGUGUUAGUUACCAGCGUACGGGACUCUAACAGACUGCCCAGAUCAAUGGGAGGAAGGUGGGGACGACGUCAGGUCAGUAUGGCCCUUACGCUGGGCUGCACACGUACUACAAUGCAGCACAUGAGCCACCGCGAGGGGAGGAAUCUACAACUGGCUCAGUUCGGAUUGGAGGCUGCAACUCGCCUCCAUGAAGCUGGAAUCGCUAGUAAUGGCAACCAGCACGUGCCGUGAAUACGUCCCGGGUCUUGUACACACCGCCCGUCACAUCAUGGAAGUCGGCGACCGAA
rnacentral:rRNA from 1 species